rnacentral:rRNA from 1 species
AAUAUUGGUCAAUGGUCGAAGGACUGAACCAGCCAAGUAGCGUGCAGGAUGACGGCCCUAUGGGUUGUAAACUGCUUUUGUGCGGGAAUAACGGUCUCCACGUGUGGAGAUGUGCAUGUACCGUACGAAUAAGGAUCGGCUAACUCCGUUCCAGCCGCCGCGGUAAUACGGAGGAUCCGAGCGUUAUCCGGAUUUAUUGGGUUUAAAGGGAGCGUAGGCGGAGGAUCAAGUCAGCUGUGAAAUGUAGUCGCUCAACGUCUGCACUGCAGUUGAAACUGGUUCCCUUGAGUGCGUAAGAGGCAGGCGGAAUUCGUCGUGUAGCGGUGAAAUGCAUAGAUAUCGCGCAGAACCCCGAUUGCGAAGGCAGCUGUCCAUCACGCCACUGACGCUCAUGCACGAAAGCGUGGGUAUCGAACAGG